CGACGGGGGGUGAGUAACGCGUGAACAAUCUGCCUAUGUCAGGGGAAUAACGCUGAGAAAUCGGCGCUAAUACCGCAUAAGACCACGGAAGGGCAUCCUUCAGAGGUAAAAGAUUUAUCGGACAUAGAUGAGUCCGCGUCCCAUUAGGUAGUUGGUGAGGUAACGGCCCACCAAGCCGACGAUGGGUAGCCGACCUGAGAGGGUGAUCGGCCACAUUGGAACUGAGAGACGGUCCAGACUCCUACGGAAGGCAGCAG
rnacentral:rRNA from 1 species